rnacentral:rRNA from 1 species
ACCUAUACGUUGCCUCGGCGGAUCAGCCCGCGCCCCGUAAAACGGGACGGCCCGCCCGAGGACCCUAAACUCUGUUUUUAGUGGAACUUCUGAGUAAAACAAACAAAUAAAUCAAAACUUUCAACAACGGAUCUCUUGGUUCUGGCAUCGAUGAAGAACGCAGCAAAAUGCGAUAAGUAAUGUGAAUUGCAGAAUUCAGUGAAUCAUCGAAUCUUUGAACGCACAUUGCGCCCGCCAGUAUUCUGGCGGGCAUGCCUGUUCGAGCGUCAUUUCAACCCUCAAGCUCAGCUUGGUGUUGGGACUCGCGGUAACCCGCGUUCCCCAAAUCGAUUGGCGGUCACGUCGAGCUUCCAUAGCGUAGUAAUCAUACACCUCGUUACUGGUAAUCGUCGCGGCCACGCCGUAAAACCCCAACUUCUGAAUGUUGACCUCGGAUCAGGUAGGAAUACCCGCUGAACUUAAGCAUAUCAAUAAGCCGGAGGAAAGGUUC